GUAGCUGUGUUUGUAAUAUUUUAUUUAACAUGUACUGUCUAUAUAACAAAUAUAUUCAGAUGUUCAUAUGAAUAAAAACAAAUAUUAAUUGGUACUUUUUUUUUGCUGCAUUUAAUUGUCUGCAAAAUAUAUCUUGUGUUGAUUAUCAAAGAAGCACUCCAAUAUAUUGCACACUCCACCAAGAAUACUAUUGCACUAGAAAGGAACUAAUACCAAUGCUUCAGAGCAGUGUCAACACCACCACUAAUACACGCUGUACAUACGGUGUAAAAAACUCAAAUCUAGGGGUCAUGAGGAGGUCCAAACAUGGUACCUACAAUAUAGUAAUGGACACUGCCUCACAUAUACACACAGAUAAUUAUACAAGAGAGUUCAAAGCAGAAAGGUUACAGUAAAAACAAUUCAAACAUGUUUUUUUUUUAUAUCAAAUACUGUAUAUAAUACAUGCAUCAUUUGCUGCUUGAUCAAUUCAGAGAGUUGCUAUUUCCUAAUUUCCGUUCCCUCAGAUUUGCAAGAUUUGUCAUGCAUACAGAAUAAGCUCUUUUGAGUGACAACAUUGAGUUGAAGCUUGUAUGAUUGACAAAAUACCAUAAGCUCAUGAAUGAAAACAUGAAAAGCUCAUAUGUGUGACAACAUGGAGGAAGCUCACAUAAGCUAGAAGAUGGAGUAAGCUCAUAUGAGUAAGAACAUGAGGCUUAUAUGAGUGGCAGAACAGAGCAAGCUCAUGAGCAUCAACAGGAAGUAGAUUCAAGAAUGGCAGCAUGGAGUAAACUCGUGAGCAUCAACAUGAAGUAAGCACAUAAGUUACAGCAUUGAGUAAGCUCAUAGCUGUGACAACAUAGAGCGAGCUCACACCAGUAACACAUGGAGUAACCUCAUAGAGUAAGCUUGUAUGAGUGACAAUGAAGCAAGCUCAUAUGAUUGAUAACAUGGAGUAAGCUCAUAUGAAUAACAACAUGUUGUCAAAUUAUAUUAGCGACAAUAAGCAAAAAGCUCAUUUGAGUUACAACAUGGAGUAACACACUUUCUCUGUGACAACAUUGAGUAAGCUCAUAUGAGUGACAGCAUGGAGUAAGCUCAGAUGAAUUACAUGGAGUAAGCUCAGAUGAAUUACAACAUGGAGUAAGCUCAGAUGAGUUACAAGAUGGUGUAAGCUCAGAUGAGUUACAACAUGGUGUAAGCUCAUACUUUGUGACAACAAGGUGUAAGCUCAUAUGAAUUACAACAUGGUGUAAGCUCAUAUGAAUUACAACAUGGAGUAAGCUCAGAUGAAAUACAACAUGGAGUAAGCUCAGAUGAGUUACAACAUGGUGUAAGCUCAUACUUUGUGACAACAAGGUGUAAGCUCAUACUUUGUGACAACAAGGUGUAAGCUCAGAUGAAUUACAACAAGGUGUAAGCUCAUAUGAAUUACAACAUGGUGUAAGCUCAUACUUAGUGACAACAUAGCGUAAUGUAUAAGCUCAUGAGUGACAACAUGAAAUUAGCUCAGGAGAGUGACAUCACUUAGUAAGCUCAGGAGAGUGACAUCACUGAGUAAGCUCAUAUGGGUAUUCUGGUCUAAUAAGCUAUUAAAACAAAUGCUUUAAAAGUUUGGCAUACAUGUUUUUUGUCAUAGCAUAUCUGAAAGUAUGUGCCAUGUUUAACCAUACCAGGCUUUUAAAAAAUUGUACAGAGGUCAUAAAAAGAAUAAACAAUACAGAAAAAGAGUCUAUACAUCCUUAAACAUUAUUUUUUUUAACAUGCUAUAUAUAUAAAAUAAAAGCUGUACACAUUAAUAUAACUACAAGAAUGAGUACAUGAAAUAUGUAUGAGACAACAGGGAUUUUAUUUUAACUGUCUCCACUCCAGCUUCUACGAGUCACUUAUUAUAUUUAGUGCAUAUAUGGAUGCAAAAAGUGGGUGGAGUCACUGUUAGAAUAACAAGCUGUGAGACAGUAUGUGAUAUACAUUUGUUCAUUAUUAAAACUUGAAAUUGUUUGGUUCUGUCAACUUUAAUUAUUGUACAACUUCAAACCCCUAUACUGCCACAUAUAAGUGUGGCCAGGAAGUGAUUUAAUGGUUAAAUGUUGAAAUCUUGGUCCCUAUGUUCAUCAUUUAGUAUUAUCAGUUCUAUAUGCAUCAAAUAAAUAUUUUGUUGAAGAUAUAUUUUUCCACAUAUUUCCGAUAUGUAAACAAAGCCUUAACCCUUUCCUCCCUAUGUAACUUUAGUAGACUCUACCAUGCAUUGAUAUGGAUGAGUCCAUUAUGGUCUACAGUGGUGAAAGGGUUAACCAGCAACGAUUCCUCUCCUAAAAUACAAUUAUUGCAAUAUAUUCUAGAUAUCCACUAUGUGUAAGUAAAGAGUAUUGAUUGAUAUACUUAACAAGAAAAUACCUGUGUAAGUACAAUUUUGAAUUUAUUUUGAUCGUAUUACUCAGAGCAGGUAUAUUUUGGUUUAGUCAAGCUCGCUAAUCCAGCCAUUAUUUACCAGGAUUCUCCACCAUCCAGCCAGACCAUAGAGAGGUUAUACUUUGUUUAAUAAAAAAAGAAAAAUCUGAGUCAUCAAUCCAUUAACCAUUUUUAAGGGAAUAAAGGUGGCUACAUUAUCGCUGGUCCACUGUCAUAUACGUACCAGAAACUGUGCUAACAUCUAGGUUCAUUGUUGUAUACGUACCAGAAACUGUGCUAAUAUCUAGGUGAGAUUAUCAAACGUCACAAUUAUCACACACUUAAUGAUAUUCAGUCAUUUUAGUUUCAUCAUGUUAAAUAUUAUGCAAGAGCUCACACGAAAAAAUUAAACACACCUACGCAUUACAAUUGUAUAAUUAUGUACCAUUACAAAAUAGGGGAGACAAUUUGGUUCCAUAACAAGAAUUACACCUAGUCAGGUGAAUCACUGAGGAAAAGUGCGAAUACAUUGUUGAUUGAUACGAACUUUCUGUAUAUAGAACAUUUACACUUCUAGUGAACAACUAUAAUUACAGCACUACACAGGGUUCUACUGAUUUCAGUCAGGACCAUGCAUAAUGACAGCUAUCAACAUUUCACGCUCCCAUGACUCAAACAUUUUAAUGUAAUUUAUAAACCAUUGGACAGCUAUAUCCAAGAUGUAAAAUGAUAUUUUUUGAGUGGUCGUGCCAUUACACAGACCAAAGUUUUAACCCUUUCACUGUAGACCAUAAUGGACUCAUCCAGAUGAAUGCAUGGAAGAGUCUACUCUAGUUACCUAGGGGUGAAAGGGUUAAAACAGGGGAUUAUGAAAUGGGAUAUUGACAUAUCUGUCCAUAAUUAUAUAACAUCACAAAGCAUUAGGGCUAGACCUUCAGUGAAUUCCAUUGAAAACUAAAAUGGAUUCCGAAAUUUAGAUGCUGUGAAAUCAUCACUUCAUUUACAAUGUAGAUUUUAUCACCACCCUUGGUAAGACAGGGGUUACAUGUAACAACCAUGUGUUAUUUUGUUUACAGAAAUUGUUGUACACGUACAGAGAACAAAUAUAGGCACAUACCUGCUUUAAUACCAAAUGUAUACAUCAUCAUUCAACCUUUUGAAGAAAGUGUUUUAUAUAUAAACAUUAGAAAUUCAAGUUUUUAAAGUUACUGCAGCCCAAAAAUUUAAGGAAACCCGUCCUACUUAAUGUAAAACACUGUGAAUUCCACUGUAGUUUUUCCGUACAUAGCUACCUCCCCUUAGUUUCGUUUUGGUACUGUCUUGGGCCAGGGGCCAAUCACUUAUUAUGUAGCUUAGUUGGUACAUGUAAGAGCAAUCACAAACCUAAUGCCAUGCCAGCAACAAGUUUGUCAUUCCCAGUACACUGUAAUAGUGUUUGGCAGUGGUAUGGAUAUCCUGAACUCAUUCACCCCUUUAGACACAUUUGAACCCUUCCAAUUCAAAGGUUGGAAUAGUUCAUUAUGAAAAUUCAGGGGUGAAUGAGUUAAGCAACACUUUAUUAGUCGAUGUGUAAAAUGUUCAAGCCAAUAGAUAGGCAAAAUGUUGAUAUCUUUAGGAGUUAAUAAGUAUACUAUUUGUGCUCAAGCCAUGACAAGUCACUUUGUACAUUUUACUUGUGUAUACUUACAAUCAUCAACAUCAUCAGAUGGUGAAACGUGGUGUAGACACAUACAGAUUUUUUGCAAUUACACAGACUUAUGAAGCAGAGUAUAAAAUAAACAUAUCACAUGCUCAUCCACGUAAUGUUGCGGUAAAAUUAUAGAAAAGUCAUUGAUUACUAACAUACCCGACAACAUUGGAGUCAAAAAUUUACCAUUUUCCCCCUUAAAAUGUUAUAAGCGAUGUAUAUAUUUUGCAAACAUGAUUUUAUUAAUAUUAAAAAUAUUUACAAGAACAUGGUAGCAUAAUAACAUUACACUGACCUAUUCACUACAUGGGACCAUAUUUUAUCCGACUCAUAAGGUGUUUCCUCAGAGAGAAAAUAAGAUCAGUAAUUUUUGUUUCGAUUUCAACAACCACAAUAUAUCAAGAAAUUUGGAUUUCCUAAGGAUUAUAAAAGAGUAUUAAUUUUAUAGGAAAUAUACAUUGUAUAAGUAACACCAUUCUAUGAUGAAAAGUGAAAAAUAAAUAAGUUUUGAAUCAUAAAAAAUCAAGUUGUAACAUUAAGGUUUAGAGUUCAAUCUAUUUUCUACUGUUUUCAGACCUUUUAUAGUUAUUUUCAUGUUAAAUUUAUAUUGUUAUCUCACAUUCCUAUAAAGACAAUCAUAGGUUAAGGGCAUUUUGAAAUUGUUCUCAGUGAUAUUGCAGAGAAAUAUUAACUUAACAAAUAUCCUGGCUAUAGGUAGUGGAAUCGAGAGGCCUAGGGAUGAAAUCCACUGAAGUUAUUUUUGUGAAAAAGAAAUGUUAUAGUAUAGACCUGUUUUAUGUAUAACUAUUUCUUAAAGUAAGCUGGUAAAUAAAUCAGACUAAGAAAAAGUGCUAAACAAAUUGGAACUCUUCUUUGUUGGAGAUGCAUUAAAUCAAUGGAACUCUCUACCUUAAGUAAUAUCUAAACUAGACCUUAAAAUGAUAUCAUUAUCUUUGUAUCAUAUUUAGAAAAUAUAACCAUACUUGAAGAAUAAGACUAUGGGACAGAUUUGACAGGAUGUUAGAAAAGACAGAGGCCAUGUUAGACAGGUUUUAUUGUCAAUUCUAAAACAUGACUGCCAUAUUUCUUGCUGACUGGAUGAAAUAUAACUGAAUAUAUCUUUUUCAUUUAUUUACCAUUGAUCACCAUUCACCUCUAAUCCUCAAAAUUUAUAUAUUCACUAUAACUCAGGCUGCUAGAAAAGUCUGAUAAAUAUAAAAACAAUCUGAAAAUUCAUUUAAAAACUGUACCAUGCUUUCCACCAUGAAAGACUUGGAGAUUUCACAUGACAAGUAAUACAUUAAUGAGACAAAUACAGUAUUAUAAUACACUGUACAAAGUUACAACAUCUGAUAAAUGUAAUACUAUUGAUGUGUGAAUACACUGUACCAUAUAACUGUCACACUUAUUACACAUGUGUUGAGGACUAUGUGAAGGGACUUGUGAGAACGUUGUACUUUUGCGUGUGAUGUCAUCGUUAGACGACCAUUUACACACUCGUUUCUGAUGAAUGACAUGUGCACGGCGACGAAAAUAAUCUGCAAGUAUUCAAUGAUGAUUUGCUUCAUGAUUUGUUACAGUGAUGAACGAUCAUGUCACCUGUUACCGACUCAGCUACAGGGAAUGGAGGCCUUAAUGGAGGCCUUGGUUACACCCCGUUACAUACUACCGUAUUUAUCCUGCAAUAAGCCCAGGGGACCAACACAUAAUCUCUGACUCAAAGUAGGGAGUGGGCUUAUUACAGGAAAGUGAAAUAGCAUUUGUUGAAAUUUCUACUGAACCGCAAUAUAUCUGGGUGGGCUUAUUACGGGAAAGGUAAAUAGCAUUUGUUGAAAUUUCUACUGAACCGCAAUAGAUCUGGGUGGGCUUAUUAACAGGCAUGGGUUUAUUGUUGGAUAAAUAUGGUAAUAUGGCAAUUAAAAAUGAAAUUGACUGGCCAAAGUACUGUAAAAUAUUGUCUCUCACUUUACAGAACAACUUUCUGUCCUCCGGUACUUCAGUUUCAAUGAAAAUAUGAUCUUACAGAAUUAAUAUUAUCAUUGGAAUAAGUUAAAAACAAAUAUAUUCCAAAAAACUCAAAAAUUUAACAAGCAAAAAAUCUUCAACAUUGAAUCUUUGGAUUUAUAAAUAAAAGGUUUUUUUUACAGUAUAUCCCGUUCCUGAUCUAGACGAUGACGGGACAGGUGUUACCAAUAUCACGUUUUCUGAUUUUACGUGAAUAUGGAAUCAUAUUUAAUUUUCAAUUCUUCAAACUUAGGUCUUUUACAAGUAGUUAUAGACUCAGUAGGAGACUUUACGGAAUAGAACAUACUCUAUGGACUGAAACUGUUUGUCAUCGUAAUUAACAGCACACUACUUCCGGUAUCGUUUUUAUAAUACUGAUAUACCCUAUUAAAACACUAACUAUUUAUGUCCAUCAAAGGAUUUCUUAGUGAUACAAAUGUCAUUCUAUCAAACUUCUUGAUUAUUUAUAUAUAUACUGACCACUCUACCUACAAAAUUUGAACAAACGUUAAAGUUACCUAAGGCAUUAGUAAAAAUAUCUGCAUUUACAUAAAGAAUUCUAAAUGAUUAAAAAUAUCUACACAGGUAAAAGUAUCAAAACUGAUAAAAGACAAAGUAAAAGUAAAAUCAAAAUAGAGACAGAUAAAUGUUAAACUGGAAAUGAUUAAAUCUGUUAAAACAAGCCUUGAAUCAGCACCAGUAUUAAAGAUAAAAUACUAUGUAAACUAAAAUAUUUCUGUAACAAAAAAACCCAUCAGAUCUGACUAGAAAUCACAGUUAUAUUGGCGACUAGAAAACAGUAAAAUUCAAGCAUAUUUCAAUGAAGAUUGGAAUCAUUAAUAAGUGUGGAGAAUAAAGAUGUGCUAACCAAGAUGGCAUCACCAGUAAGCAUUCUGAUAUUGAUUAAGUGAAUGCUCAAAUAACUCCUUCUUACAUUAAAAAAUAACCAAAUGGUUGUUCAACAUUUCCAAGAAGUCAAACGUAUUUUCUUUCAUUAAUUAUGCAUUUUCAAAACUGGAAUGACUAUUAUGCUACAGUGUUAUAAAUCAUUCAUAUUGUCAAAAGUAAAUUAAGGCUAUAAAGCUGAAGACGCAAGCCUAUCACACUUAUAUUAAGGAAAUAUGCUACUUUACCAAAAUAUGAAUCUCUUUUAUAAAAGAGUUCAAAAGGAAAAAUCAUGUCAAUUUUUAUUAUGAAAACCAGUUCAUAUUUGUGUUUGUUAUCUUUUUUGGUGGAUAAAGUUGUGAUGAAACAUAAUGUUGACUUAACACAUGAUUAAAAAUACUCAGUGUGUGAGAAAAUCCUUGUUUAAAGGAAGAUAAUUCUAAAAUAAAUUACCAGUAAAAAGUGUAAGGGAGAUAAUUUAACACAAAUCACUGAUAAAAUAUGUAAGGGAGAUAACUUUAAAAAGAAAAUUCACAAGCAAAACGAACAAAGGAGGGAACUCUUAACAAAAUAUACGAGUAAAGUAUGUACGGCAACAUAUUCCUAAACAUAAUUUUCAUAAACUUUUUUAUUUUUAGAGAAUUGCGAAUAUCCCUUGUAUUACCUGUUUAACUGUUUGCCUCUGUUUACGUUUUUAGCUCUGUUAUUUUUAAACUUAAUGAUGUGCAUUUAUGACAGACAUUUUGUCAUCAGAAAGUUGUGAACGUCACAUUCUAAAGAAAUAUCAUGUCACAGUUAAAUUCUAAUAUACCUGUCCAGUAGAACUGGCAAUCAUUACAGAAGGAUGUAAAUUCUAAAUGUAAUACUUAGCUAUACAGAUUACUUAUACACUAUAGUGAUACCAGAUAGCUAUGGAAUAUCAAACCAAGUACAGUAUAGCAAAAACUUCAGUUUCUGUUUACUUUGAACGUAAUACAACAUCUGUGAAUCAUCAACAAUGAAUGUGAUCUUUUAUAAGAAAAGGUCAGGGGGCACUCUCUAAUAACAACUGUCUAUGAUCCCAAACAUAUAGGUCAAGGUCAGAAAUAUAACUCGUUAUUCAACACCUGUUGAACAGUCUAUUGAGAUAAUAAAAAAAAAAGAGAAAAAAACAU
rnacentral:lncRNA from 1 species